rnacentral:RNase_P_RNA from 18 species
CCAGCCGGCCGGGCGGCCGCGGUGUGGGACCUUGCGUCCGCAUCGAGGAAAGUCCGGGCUCCACUCAGACACGGUGCCGGAUAACGUCCGGCGGGGGUGACCCUAGGGAAAGUGCCACAGAAAACAAACCACCCGCGAAGGACUUUCGGGUCCGCGUGGGCCAGGGUGAAACGGUGGGGUAAGAGCCCACCGCGCGACCGGCAACGGGAGCGGCACGGCAAACCCCACCGGGAGCAAAGUCGAAUAGGGACGGCACGGGAAACCACCCCUGUCUGCGGGGCGCCGUCCGGGUUGACUGCUAGAGGCGCCGGGCAACCGGCGUCCCAGAGGAAUGGUCGCCACGCGGGUGCAAGCCCGCCGUACAGAACCCGGCUUACAGGCCGGCUGGUGCA